UCAGACCAUUCCUCACCACUGAAAAACAUCAGUAGUCAGGGGUGCAGUGUCAUUGAUUGCAAAGAAGACGGGGUAACAACGUUUCCAACCCGUCAAAAUGUUUCUGCCUUUUAACUUGAAUUGGACAGCAAGUAUCUUCACUGAACUCGAUUGAUAAGUAGUAACGUAUUCUAGUCCAAACUGUGUGGAGAAAUACAACCUUACGAGAAGCACAUAAAUGCAGCAUUAAAAGUGGAGGGACGUUGAGUCUGGCGACAUCUUGUGGCGAAAUGACGGUGAGAAGCAGCAGCUAUCCAGCGUCACACAAUGGUUGAAGACCCUGAAGACCCAGGAGCACUCCCAGAUAACACAGCAGGGCAGGUUGUGCGGGUGUCCAUCUGUCUCUAAU